rnacentral:rRNA from 1 species
UAGGGAAUCUUCGGCAAUGGGGGGAACCCUGACCGAGCAACGCCGCGUGAGUGAAGAAGGUUCUCGGAUCGUAAAGCUCUGUUGUUAAGGAAGAACGAGUGUGAGAAUGGAAAGUUCAUGCUGUGACGGUACUUAACCAGAAAGGGACGGCUAACUACGUGCCAGCAGCCGCGGUAAUACGUAGGUCCCGAGCGUUGUCCGGAUUUAUUGGGCGUAAAGCGAGCGCAGGCGGUUAGAAAAGUCUGAAGUGAAAGGCAGUGGCUCAACCAUUGUAGGCUUUGGAAACUGUUUAACUUGAGUGCAGAAGGGGAGAGUGGAAUUCCAUGUGUAGCGGUGAAAUGCGUAGAUAUAUGGAGGAACACCGGUGGCGAAAGCGGCUCUCUGGUCUGUAACUGACGCUGAGGCUCGAAAGCGUGGGGAGCGAACAGG